UUAGCUUGCUCCAUCUUAUUAAUAUGCUGGUGAAAAUCCAGAGAAGGAGAGUUUAUAAUUUAUCAAAACUACAGCAGUUUUUCUCAGGAGUCUAUCACAAGAAAAAUUCUGUCUCCCUGCAGAUUUCCCAGGCCAUGAGUCAACAUGGGAAACCCACUAAUGCAGGCCAAACCUCAUCCUCUUCUCACAUUUACCUAACCUGUGGUUUCUUCCAGGUGCAGUUGAAACGCUAAAGUUGUUCUCACCACGGAUGCAAAGGCCAAGGUUCUGCCAGUGACCUUUUCUAGGGCUCAUUUAGAACCCAGGACUGGUGCCUUUUCCAGGGCACUCAAUAAACAAUGCUGCAGGAACUAGUCAGGCAUCUGUGGGCACACCACUGAGGACAAAGGGCUCUACAUCAGUUGUUGAAGUGAAUUUGUUUUGGCUUAUCUUCAGUGACAUUUCCAAUUUAACAUUUACACAGCCAUUCUGUGGAAACAUCAGG